GAUGAACGCUGGCGGCGUGCCUAAUACAUGCAAGUCGAGCGAAUGGAUUAAGAGCUUGCUCUUAUGAAGUUAGCGGCGGACGGGUGAGUAACACGUGGGUAACCUGCCCAUAAGACUGGGAUAACUCCGGGAAACCGGGGCUAAUACCGGAUAACAUUUUGAACCGCAUGGUUCGAAAUUGAAAGGCGGCUUCGGCUGUCACUUAUGGAUGGACCCGCGUCGCAUUAGCUAGUUGGUGAGGUAACGGCUCACCAAGGCAACGAUGCGUAGCCGACCAGAGAGGGUGAGCGGCCAGACUGGGACGGAGACACGGCCCAGACUCCUACGGGGGGCAGCAGUAGGGAAUCUUCCGCAAGGGAGGAAAGUCUGACGGAGCAACGCCGCGUGGGUGAUGAAGGCUUUCGGGUCGUAAAACUCUGUUGUUAGGGAAGAACAAGUGCUAGUUGAAUAAGCUGGGACCUUGACGGUACCUAACCAGAAAGCCACGGCUAACUACGUGCCAGCCGCCGCCGUAA
rnacentral:rRNA from 1 species